rnacentral:lncRNA from 1 species
GUUCUUUUUCUUCUGCCUUGGCAACGGGCAACAUGCCAGAUGCUGGCUGAGUGAAAAGUGAAACCUCUGAUGUUUUAAGCUCCUGAGAUUUGGGGCUUAAAGUAGCUGGGACUACAGGUGUGUGCCACCAUGCCUGGCUCAUUUUUUUCCCUGGCUUGUUACUGCAGCAGAACUGAACCUGCCUUGAGUCCAGUGUGGCAGCAGAAUCUGUAGAUGUCACUCAUCCAGUCCUGUCUUGUGCAUGACGAUGGUCUCAUAUCAUUAAGCUGUAGGGCUGGAAUGAGAGGCAAGGUGGAUGCUUGACUUGGGAACAAAAUUUCAGGGGGUGUCAAAGAACUCAAGAACUUUGUCCUGAACUCAUAAAUAUUAUUUUAUUGUGAUAUUUUGUAAAAGUCAAGAUUAAUGCAAAACCAUGAUGAAUAAAAUGGUAACAUUAAAUCUAUCUAUCUAUCUAUCUAUCUAUCUAUCUAUCUAUCUAUCUAUAGAUAUGUAUAUAUAUACACAUAGGUCAGGCGCGGUGGCUCACACCUGUAAUCCCAACACUUUGGGAAGCCGAUGCAGGUGGAUUGCUUGAGACCAGGAGUUCGAGACCAGCCUGGCCAACAUGGUGAAACCCCAUCUCUGCUAAAAGUACAAAAAAUUAGCAGGUCGUGAUACUGCACACCUGUAAUUCCAGCUACUUGGAAGGCUGACGCACGAGAAUCGCUUGAACCCAGGAGGCGGAGGUUGGAGUGAGUAGAGAUCAUACCACUGCACUGCACUCCAGCCUGGGCAACAGAAUGAGACUCCAUCUCAAAAAAAAAAUAUAUGUAUAUAUAUAUACACAUAUAUGAGAGAGACAAGGUCUCACUCUGUCACCCAGGCUGGAGUGCAGUGGCACAAUCAUAGCUCACUGCAGCAUUGACCUCCUGAGCACAAGCAAUCCUCCCACCUCAGCCUCCCGAGUAGCUGGGACUACAGGUGUGCACCACCACACCCAGCUAAUGCUUGAAUUUUUAUAGAGAUGGGGUCUUGCUAUGUUGCCCAGACUGGUCUUGAACUCCUGGGCUCAAGUGAUCCCUCUGUCUCAGCCUCCCAAAGUGCUGAGAUUAUGGGCGUGAGCCACUGCUCCUGGCAUACAUUGUCCUAGUCUAUUGUUAGAAGCAAGUUAUUGGGUCCAGCUCACACUCGAGGGAUCACACAGAGUGCAGACAUCAGGAGGUGGGAAUCAUGGAGGAGUCUUGGAGCCUGUCUGCCUCACCUCCUCUCCUCUAGUAUUCCUAGUUUUUUUUUUUUUUUCGAGAUGGAGUUUUGCUCUUGUUGCUUAGACUGGAGUGCAAUGGCAGGAUCUCGGCUCGCUACAACCUCUGCCUCCCAGGUCCAGGUGAUCCUCCUGUCUCAGCCUCCCAAGUAGCUGGGAUUACAGGAGCCCCCUGCCACACCUGGCUAAUUUUUGUAUUUUUAGUAGAGAUGGGGUUUCACCAUGUUGGUCAGGCUGGUCUUGAACUCAUGACCUCAAAUGAUCUGCCUGUCUGGGCCUCCCAAAGUGCUGGGGUUACAGGCAUGAGCCACCAAGCCUGGCCUCUUUGCUGAUUUUCAUCUGUAACUUUCACUGUAAUAAACCAUAACUGGGAGUAACACCACUUUUCUGGGAUCUAUCAAUCUCAGCAAAUUAUUGACCCUGAGGGUGGUCUCAGGGACCCCCGACACAAGCCCCAUUUCCCAGCCACCAUCUUUUGCAAUCUCCAUUGCCCUAGUCACCGAAUGGCAUAUUCUUAUCCAUUUGCUAUUUCCUGCCUCUCUCCUCUGGAUCAAAGGCUCUGGAAGGUCGAAAACUCAUCUGUCUUUCCCAUGAAAGGCUGUAGAACAAAAUGGUCAGGGGUCAAGUCCUGGCCCUGUCACUUUUUCAUUGUUGCUGAGUCAAGGUCUCAGCCAGGGUGGAGUGCAGCAGUGCAGUCAUAGCUUACUGCAGCCUUGAACUCCCGGGCUCAAGCAAUCCUCCCACCUCAGCCUCCCUUGUGGCUGGGACUACAGUCACAUGCCACCACAGCCAGCUAUUUUUUUUCUUUUAAGACAGGGUGUCGCUCUGUCACCCAGGCUGGAGUGCAGUGGCAUGAUCUCGGCUCACUGCAACGUCUGCCUCCCAGGUUCAACUGAUUCUCCUGCCUCAGCCUCCCGAGUAGCUGGAAUUACAGGCAUGCGCCACCACGCCUGGCUAAUUUUUUUUUGUAUUUUUAGUAGAGACGGGGUUUCACCAUGUUGGCCAGGCUGGUCUUGAACUUCUGACCUCAGGUGAUCCGCCUGCCUCGGCCUCCCAAAGUGCUGGGAUUACAGGCUUGAGCCACCAAGCCCGGCCCCACACCCAGCUAAUUUUUAUUUUUUGAGACGGAGUCUUGCUUUGUUGCCCAGGCUGGAGUGCAGUGGCACGAUCUCAGCUCACUGCAAUCUCCACCUCCCAAGUUCAAGCGAUUCUCCUGCCUCAGCCUCCGCAGUAGCUGGGAUUACAGGCAUCCGCCACUACGCCAGCUAAUUUUUUUGUAUUUUUAGUAGAGACGAGGUUUCAUCUUGUUGGCCAGGCUGGUCUUGAACUCCUGACCUCAAGUGAUCCGUCAGUCUCAGCCUCCCAGAAUGCCUGAAGGUUAGCUUUUAAGUGUUGGUUACUUUAUCUCCUCAGUAGCUAGAUCAGGGUCCAGGUGGUCAGGAUUCAGUCAAAAGCAAGUGAUUAAGGAGACUCCUCUGGGGACUUUGCGAUGGAGAGGCAGGAGGGGCCACGAGCGGGGGUGGGGAAGAGAAGAGGGCACAGAGGCCAGCGGAUGAGAGAGACACCAGGGAGCCUGGGAUGCCUGCCCGAGGCUCUGGCCACGCCCAUGCCCUGCCUGUCCCGCUAAGCACACAGAGGAAAGGCCAUGUGAGGACACAGCAAGAAGGCGGCCAUCUGCAAGCCAAGAAGAGAGUCCUCACCAGGAACCAACUCUGCUGACACCUUGCUGUUGGACUUCCAGCCUCUAUAAAUGUUCACAAGCACACCACUGUUUACACCCAUCUAGAAGGCCCCUCCCAGCUGACAUCUUUCUGCCUACCUUUCAGGAAGACAGACGAAACUCUCUGCCUUCAGGUGGGGCAAGACUGCUGAUGGCUGGAACAGGAGCUUGGCACCUCCACCCUGACCCAGACACAAGCCUGUCUGUCCCACUCAAAUCGAGCUGGCCAGAGACUACAACUGUGUUGGUUCCCAAGACAUAGAAAAGCCAGAAGAGGUCGGGCGCAGUGGCUCACGCCUGUCAGCACUUUGGGAAGCCGAGGCAGGCAGAUUACCUAAGGUCAAGAGUUCAAGACCAAUCUG